rfam:Enterococcus faecalis 13-SD-W-01 genomic scaffold Scaffold400, whole genome shotgun sequence.
AGAGUGUUAUGAUGUUGGAAGCUUGCUUCCGAGUCUAGCUCAGCGCUGCUCCCCAGUUUUUAAACUGGGGAG